UGGGGAAUAUUGGGCAAUGGGCGAAAGCCUGACCCAGCAACGCCGCGUGAGUGAUGAAGGCCUUCGGGUUGUAAAACUCUUUGGACAGGGACGAAGAAAGUGACGGUACCCUGUGAGGAAGCCCCGGCUAACUACGUGCCAGCAGCCGCGGUAAUACGUAGGGGGCUAGCGUUAUCCGGAUUUACUGGGCGUAAAGGGUGCGUAGGUGGUCUUUCAAGUCGGUGGUUAAAGGCUACGGCUCAACCGUAGUUAGCCUCCGAAACUGGAAGACUUGAGUGCAGGAGAGGAAAGUGGAAUUCCCAGUGUAGCGGUGAAAUGCGUAGAUAUUGGGAGGAACACCAGUAGCGAAGGCGGCUUUCUGGACUGCAACUGACACUGAGGCACGAAAGCGUGGGUAGCAAACAGG
rnacentral:rRNA from 1 species